AUACGGAGGGUGCAAGCGUUGUUCGGAAUUAUUGGGCGUAAAGAGCAUGUAGGCGGACUGUUAAGUCUGGUGUGAAAGCCCGGGGCUCAACCCCGGAAGUGCAUUGGAUACUGGCAGUCUUGAGUAUGGGAGAGGAAAGUGGAAUUCCGAGUGUAGGAGUGAAAUCCGUAGAUAUUCGGAGGAACACCAGUGGCGAAGGCGGCUUUCUGGACCAAUACUGACGCUGAGAUGCGAAAGCGUGGGGAGCGAACAGGAUUAGAUACCCCAGUAGUCC
rnacentral:rRNA from 1 species